AUAAGACCCUGAGUAUCUGAAGAAAAGUGAGCUUAAACAUUAUGACGUGACAGAACAGCCUUUAAUGUUUUAAUUUCAUCCUGAUUGAAGUCUCCAUUACAGGCUGAAAAAAACACUCACCCGGAGACAAAAAAGUACGUUUGAAGAGAUUUUUGAACUGUAGUUUACUGAAAUAUUCUUUUGUUACUUCUUUCCGUCCAUUUGAAAGCCUGUUGAAUGUUCGAGGUUUUGAAAGCUAUGGGGAAUAUGCACAAAACAGCAGAGAACUACAGAAAAUCGUGAAGAAAUAGGCAUCCUGAAGAAUAAAAGAAAAUCUCUGAAACGCUAAAAGGAUCAGGACAUAUUCUAGCCUAAUUGUCGGUGAUGUUGGGGAGGAGGGAAGUUCUAUUAAUUUGAAUCUAAAAGUCACAGAGAGCAGAGAAGAUGGAGUACCAUAAAAUCCAGGGUAUUAGAAGAAACAAGUGAUGGGACCUGGGUUUGAAGCCUCAGAAGACAAGGUAAGGAAUGUCUAAGAAUAUGAAUUGACUUGCUUUUGUUGCAAGACUUGUUACAUUUUCA